GGUCAGAUGGUCGAGUGGUCUAAGACGCAGCGUUUAGGCCGCUGUCUCUCCGGAGGCGUGGGUUCGAGUCCCACUCUGAUCA